GAGUUUGAUCUUGGCUCAGAUUGAACGCUGGCGGCAUGCCUUACACAUGCAAGUCGAACGGCAGCACGGGAGCUUGCUCCUGGUGGCGAGUGGCGAACGGGUGAGUAAUGCAUCGGAACGUAUCCUGGAGUGGGGGAUAACGUAGCGAAAGUUACGCUAAUACCGCAUAUUCUGUGAGCAGGAAAGCGGGGGACCUUCGGGCCUCGCGCUCUUGGAGCGGCCGAUGUCGGAUUAGCUAGUUGGUGAGGUAAAGGCUCACCAAGGCGACGAUCCGUAGCAGGUCUGAGAGGAUGAUCUGCCACACUGGAACUGAGACACGGUCCAGACUCCUACGGGAGGCAGCAGUGGGAAUUUUGGACAAUGGGGGCAACCCUGAUCCAGCCAUGCCGUGUGAGUGAAGAAGGCCU
rnacentral:rRNA from 1 species